CUUUAUCAGAUAAAUUGUCGGAUUUUAUUUUUCACCUUCCGGGUCUCAGAAAAAUAUAAAACUUUAAAUCUAGUCUCAUAAAAAUAUUUCUGACCUAUCCUCUAAUUUUCAUAAUUUUCUGAGACUGUGUAUUUUCUGCUAAUUUAUCUGUCCCGUUUCUAACAGAAAAUUCUAGAUCUUCUGUUUUCAUUCCGAUUUCAGCACAAGUCACUUCUGACUUAUAUUUUACUCCUCUAAAUUCAAUAAAAAUAGUAUCUCACGCUAUUUUUAUUUAUUUUUAUUUUUAUACCAAAAUCUGGUAUGUUACACUCUCCACCCCUUAAAAGAAUUUCGUCCGCGAAAUUCAAAUCACGCCUC
rnacentral:lncRNA from 1 species